GACGAACGCUGGNGGCAUGCCUAAUACAUGCAAGUCGAACGCUGAAGCACUCUGCUUGCAGAGUGCGGAUGAGUGGCGAACGGGUGAGUAACACGUGGGAAAUCUGCCUAGGAGUGGGGGAUAACAUUCGGAAACGGAUGCUAAUACCGCAUAUCUUUUUGAACCGCAUGGUUCUUAAACGAAAGACGGCUUCGGCUGUCGCUCUUAGAUGAUCCCGCGGCGUAUUAGUUAGUUGGUGGGGUAAAGGCCUACCAAGACUAUGAUACGUAGCCGACCUGAGAGGGUGAUCGGCCACACUGGGACUGAGACACGGCCCAGACUCCUACGGGAGGCAGCAGUGGGGAAUAUUGGGCAAUGGGGGAAACCCUGACCCAGCAACGCCGCGUGAAGGAAGAAGGCCCUCGGGUUGUAAACUUCUUUUACCAGGGACGAAGGACGUGACGGUACCUGGAGAAAAAGCAACGGCUAACUACGUG
rnacentral:rRNA from 1 species